UACGUAGGGUGCAAGCGUUAAUCGGAAUUACUGGGCGUAAAGCGUGCGUAGGCGGCUAUGUAAGACAGAUGUGAAAUCCCUGGGCUUAACCUAGGAACUGCAUUUGUGACUGCAUUGCUAGAGUGUGGUAGAGGGAGAUGGAAUUCCGCGUGUAGCAGUGAUAUGCGUAGAUAUGCGGAGGAACACCAAUGGCGAAGGCAAUCUCCUGGACCUGCACUGACGCUCAUGCACGAAAGCGUGGGGAGCAAACAGG
rnacentral:rRNA from 1 species